rnacentral:rRNA from 1 species
AGUCUACCUGCCCACUGAAUAAAUUUAAAUGGCCGCAGUAUACUAACUGUGCAAAGGUAGCAUAAUCAUUAGUCUUUUAAUUGAAGGCUUGUAUGAAUGGUUGGACGAGAUAUUAACUGUUUCAUAAAAAUUUAUAAUAGAAUUUUAUUUUUUAGUCAAAAAGCUAAAAUAAAAUUAAAAGACGAGAAGACCCUAUAAAUCUUUAUAUAUAAAUUAUUAGAAUUUUAUAGAUUUUUUUUAUUAUAAUAAUUAAUUAUAUUUUAUUGGGGUGAUAUUAAAAUUUAAUAAACUUUUAAUUGUUUAAAUCAUUAAUUUAUGAAAUAUUGAUCCGUUAAUAGCGAUUAAAAAAAUAAGUUACUUUAGGGAUAACAGCGUAAUUUUUUUGGAGAGUUCAUAUCGAUAAAAAAGAUUGCGACCUCGAUGUUGGAUUAAGAUAUAAUUUUAGGUGUAGCCGCUUAAAUUUUAAGUCUGUUCGACUUUUAAAUUCUUACA